GGUUAAGCGACUAAGCGUACACGGUGGAUGCCCUGGCAGUCAGAGGCGAUGAAGGGCGUGCUAAUCUGCGAUAAGCGCCGGUAAGGUGAUAUGAACCGUUAUAACCGGCGAUACCCGAAUGGGGAAACCCAGUGUGAUUCGUCACACUAUCAUUAACUGAAUCCAUAGGUUAAUGAGGCGAACCGGGGGAACUGAAACAUCUAAGUACCCCGAGGAAAAGAAAUCAACCGAGAUUCCCCCAGUAGCGGCGAGCGAACGGGGAGGAGCCCAGAGCCUGAAUCAGCAUGUGUGUUAGUGGAAGCGUCUGGAAAGGCGCGCGAUACAGGGUGACAGCCCCGUACACAAAAGCGUAUGUGCUGUGAGCUCGAUGAGUAGGGCGGGACACGUGGUAUCCUGUCUGAAUAUGGGGGGACCAUCCUCCAAGGCUAAAUACUCCUGACUGACCGAUAGUGAACCAGUACCGUGAGGGAAAGGCGA
rnacentral:rRNA from 1 species